GGCAGUUUCAUGUCAUUGAGUAGAAUUGUGCGGAAUGCUUUUAUGGAGUGAGGCUUCUGCGUUAAACUUGUGCUGAUUCCAGGUUGAUGAUAAUUAGAAGCAUGCUUUCCACUGAACUUCCCGACAACAUUUGUUAUGCAGAAUGUCUCUGAGUGAGAACUCGGUUUUUGCCUAUGAAUCUUCUGUGCAUAGCACCAAUGUUUUACUCAGCCUUAAU
rnacentral:lncRNA from 1 species